rnacentral:rRNA from 1 species
GACGAACGCUGGCGGCGUGCCUAAUACAUGCAAGUCGAACGAGAGCGACCGGUGCUUGCACUGGUCAAUCUAGUGGCGAACGGGUGAGUAACACGUGGGUAACCCGCCCAUCAGAGGGGGAUAACAUCCGGAAACGGAUGCUAAAACCGCAUAGGUCUUCGAGCCGCAUGGCUUGAAGAGGAAAAGAGGCGCAAGCUUCUGCUGAUGGAUGGACCCGCGGUGCAUUAGCUAGUUGGUGAGGUAACGGCUCACCAAGGCCGUGAUGCAUAGCCGACCUGAGAGGGUGAUCGGCCACAUUGGGACUGAGACACGGCCCAAACUCCUACGGGAGGCAGCAGUAGGGAAUCUUCCGCAAUGGACGCAAGUCUGACGGAGCAACGCCGCGUGAGUGAAGAAGGUUUUCGGAUCGUAAAACUCUGUUGUUAGAGAAGAACAAGUGCUAGAGUAACUGUUAGCGCCUUGACGGUAUCUAACCAGAAAGCCACGGCUAACUACGUGCCAGCAGCCGCGGUAAUACGUAGGUGGCAAGCGUUGUCCGGAUUUAUUGGGCGUAAAGCGAGCGCAGGCGGUUCCUUAAGUCUGAUGUGAAAGCCCCCGGCUCAACCGGGGAGGGUCAUUGGAAACUGGGGAACUUGAGUGCAGAAGAGGAGAGUGGAAUUCCAUGUGUAGCGGUGAAAUGCGUAGAUAUAUGGAGGAACACCAGUGGCGAAGGCGACUCUCUGGUCUGUAACUGACGCUGAGGCUCGAAAGCGUGGGUAGCAAACAGG